CGCUCACCACCCCGAGAGCCCACCACCGUCACCGUAAUCCACACCCAGGCACUGACCGAAGCAUCUCCCAGCCAUCGCAGGAUCCUCUGGGCUGAACGCCGCAUGUGAUGUCCCUAUGAAAGGAGGUGGACACAAGAAUUAUUCUUUUCCUGGUUACAACCGAAGCAUCUCCCAGCCAUCGCAGGAUCCUCUGGGCUGAACGCCGCAUGUGAUGUCCCUAUGAAAGGAGGUGGACACAAGAAUUAUUCUUUUCCUGGUUACAACCGAAGCAUCUCCCAGCCGUAAGCCCCAUUACUUAUUCUAGAACACAUACUUACUGUUGGUUACUUACUCUGCGGUGCAGAUCGCAGGAUCCUCUGGGCUGAACGCCGCAUGUGAUGUCCCUAUGAAAAGAGAUUGCAGGAUCCUCUGGGCUGGACGCUGCAUGUGAUGUCCCUGUAAAAGGAGGUGGACACGAGAAUUAUUCCUUUUCCCGGUCUCGACCGAAACAUCCACGAGCUCUACUUACCCGGAUAUCCCCCCCUCAUUCCGGGACGGGUGACAGACUAUCCUGGCUCUUGCCGGCCCCGUACAGGCACGAACUGCCGACGACUCCACGCCUCCCCGGCGUCCGAGGUCUGGCUUCGUUCUGGUCGGGAGACACGGAAGGAACACUGAACUUUUAAAUUGCUUUUAACCAAAUAAAACCUUGUUCAAUUUUUUUUAUACUCUCGUCCGUCUGGUUCUUCUGGUACGCUCUCUGAGGUGAUCCUGGGUUUCAGGGGCGGGUGCAGUCCGGCUUGGCCCCCCCGACCUGUGACAUUUGC
ensembl:lncRNA